UGCCUACGGGGGGCAGCAGUGGGGAAUAUUGGGCAAUGGGCGCAAGCCUGACCCAGCAACGCCGCGUGAAGGAAGAAGGCCCUCGGGUUGUAAACUUCUUUUAUUCGGGACGAAACAAAUGACGGUACCGAAUGAAUAAGCCACGGCUAACUACGUGCCAGCAGCCGCGGUAAUACGUAGGUGGCAAGCGUUAUCCGGAUUUAUUGGGUUUAAAGGGUGCGUAGGCGGAAUGCCAAGUCAGCGGUAAAAUCGCGGGGCUCAACCUCGCUCCGCCGUUGAAACUGGCGUUCUUGAGUGGGCGAGAA
rnacentral:rRNA from 1 species